AAACUAAACAAGACUUUUGUUCCAGGGCACAAUAUCAUUUAUGCUCGGGCUCUUCCUUAUAUUCGUUCGCUGGCCGGUUGUGGGUAUCAUUGUGGAAAUAUAUGGAUGCAUUGUUCUCUUUGGCGGUUUCUGGCCAUCCAUCAAGGUUUUUCUUUUCCAGAUUCCUGUAUUUGGAUGGAUUCUGCAGUAUCCUGCUCUGCUACUUGACCGCUUUCGGAGCUGACUGAUUAGUCUGCUCCAAUUAUCCUGUUUCACUCCUCAUCAUCUUUUGAUGAGUUUUUGUGCCAAGGAAGGAAGAAUAUACUCAGCUGGGACAUAUAUAUCCAAAUUGUUUGUCUUGUCACUUCUGUAAUGCAGCAAUUUGCUGUUUACUUGUUGUUCACUUGGUAUUCACUAAUGGCGGACCCAAAUGUAGGAUUAUAGAUUAUGAUUAUUUCACUUGCUGCCUAUAUUUCUGCAGAAAUAUAAUCAAUGUAGUUCUUAACUAGCAAUUCUAAUUCUCCAGUUUUCUUAUACUAUCCUAUCCCCUGUUUCCUCUACCAUUUCUGAGGAAACAUUUUAUAUGUUUGAUUGAGAAAAGGAUUGUAGUAAUUGCUCAGGGGCAAGAAUUGAAAAGCCUUCUCUUUAAUUUGA